rnacentral:rRNA from 1 species
AAGCAUAUCAAUAAGCGGAGGAAAAGAAACCAACAGGGAUUGCCCUAGUAACGGCGAGUGAAGCGGCAACAGCUCAAAUUUGAAAUCUGGCUCUCGGGCCCGAGUUGUAAUUUGUAGAGGAUGCUUUUGAUGCGGUGCCUUCCGAGUUCCCUGGAACGGGACGCCAUAGAGGGUGAGAGCCCCGUCUGGUUGGAUGCCAAAUCUCUGUAAAGCUCCUUCAACGAGUCGAGUAGUUUGGGAAUGCUGCUCUAAAUGGGAGGUAUAUGUCUUCUAAAGCUAAAUACCGGCCAGAGACCGAUAGCGCACAAGUAGAGUGAUCGAAAGAUGAAAAGCACUUUGAAAAGAGAGUUAAAAAGUACGUGAAAUUGUUGAAAGGGAAGCGUUUAUGACCAGACUUGGGCUUGGUUAAUCAUCUGGGGUUCUCCCCAGUGCACUUUUCCAGUCCAGGCCAGCAUCAGUUUUCCCCGGGGGAUAAAGGCGUCGGGAAUGUGGCUCUCUUCGGGGAGUGUUAUAGCCCGUCGUGUAAUACCCUGGGGGGGACUGAGGUUCGCGCAUCUGCAAGGAUGCUGGCGUAAUGGUCAUCAACGACCCGU